UGCCGCGUGUGUGAAGAAGGCCUUAUGGUUGUAAAGCACUUUAAGCGAGGAGGAGGCUCCUGUAGUUAAUACCUACAGUGAGUGGACGUUACUCGCAGAAUAAGCACCGGCUAACUCUGUGCCAGCAGCCGCGGUAAUACAGAGGGUGCGAGCGUUAAUCGGAUUUACUGGGCGUAAAGCGUGCGUAGGCGGCUUUUUAAGUCGGAUGUGAAAUCCCCGAGCUUAACUUGGGAAUUGCAUUCGAUACUGGGAAGCUAGAGUAUGGGAGAGGAUGGUAGAAUUCCAGGUGUAGCGGUGAAAUGCGUAGAGAUCUGGAGGAAUACCAUGGCGAAGGCAGCCAUCUGGCCUAAUACUGACGCUGAGGUACGAAAGCAUGGGGAGCAAACAGGAUUAGAUACCCUGGUAGUCCAUGCCGUAAACGAUGUCUACUAGCCGUUGGGGCCUUUGAGGCUUUAGUGGCGCAGCUAAC
rnacentral:rRNA from 1 species